CACGUAGGGGGCGAGCGUUGUCCGGAUUUAUUGGGCGUAAAGAGCUCGUAGGCGGCUCAGUAAGUUAGGUGUGAAAACUCCAGGCUCAACCUGGAGACGCCACCUGAUACUGCUGUGGCUAGAGUCCGGUAGGGGAGCAUGGAAUUCCGAGUGUAGAGGUGAAAUUCGUAGAUAUUCGGAAGAACACCAGUGGCGAAGGCGACUUACUGGACACAUAUUGACGCUGAGGUGCGAAAGCGUGGGGAGCAAACAGG
rnacentral:rRNA from 1 species